CCCAGACUCCUACGGGAGGCAGCAGUGGGGAAUAUUGCACAAUGGGGGAAACCCUGAUGCAGCGACGCUGCGUGAGGGAAGAAGUAUUUCGGUAUGUAAAGCUCUAUCAGCAGGGAAGAAAAAAAUGACGGUACCUGAGUAAGAAGCACCGGCUAAAUACGUGCCAGCAGCCGCGGUAAUACGUAUGGUGCAAGCGUUAUCCGGAUUUACUGGGUGUAAAGGGAGCGUAGGCGGCGCGUUAAGUCUGAUGUGAAAACCCGAGGCUCAACCACGGGAGUGCAUUGGAAACUGGCGGGCUGGAGUGCCGGAGAGGUAAGCGGAAUUCCUAGUGUAGCGGUGAAAUGCGUAGAUAUUAGGAGGAACACCAGUGGCGAAGGCGGCUUACUGGACGGCAACUGACGCUGAGGCUCGAAAGCGUGGGGAGCAAACAGGAUUAGAUACCCCUGUA
rnacentral:rRNA from 1 species